CCUCCCGCUUGGCUCCCUGAGCGGGGCCUGGGUCGUUGAUCGCCAGGCAUUGCCCCGGACCGAAAGGCCGGGGCUUUUUAU
rnacentral:ncRNA from 1 species